CGUAGGGUGCAAGCGUUGUCCGGAAUUAUUGGGCGUAAAGAGCUCGUAGGCGGUUUGUCGCGUCUGCUGUGAAACUGGAGGCUCAACCUCCAGCCUGCAGUGGGUACGGGCAGACUAGAGUGCGGUAGGGGAGAUUGGAAUUCCUGGUGUAGCGGUGGAAUGCGCAGAUAUCAGGAGGAACACCGAUGGCGAAGGCAGAUCUCUGGGCCGUAACUGACGCUGAGGAGCGAAAGCAUGGGAGCGAACAGGAUU
rnacentral:rRNA from 1 species